rnacentral:rRNA from 1 species
CCUAAGAACGCUNNCGGUGGCUUAACACAUGCAAGUCGAACGGAAACGAUAAAGAGCUUGCUCUUUAGGCGUCGAGUGGCGGACGGGUGAGUAACGCGUGGGAAUCUACCCUAUAGUUGGGGACAACAUAUGGAAACGUAUGCUAAUACCGAAUAAUCUCUACGGAGUAAAGGAGCCCACUUCCUGAAAGGUUUCGCUAUAGGAUGAGCCCGCGUUAGAUUAGCUAGUUGGUAAGGUAACGGCUUACCAAGGCCACGAUCUAUAGCUGGUUUGAGAGGAUGAUCAGCCACACUGGGACUGAGACACGGCCCAGACUCCUACGGGAGGCAGCAGUGGGGAAUAUUGCACAAUGGACGCAAGUCUGAUGCAGCCAUACCGCGUGUGUGAAGAAGGCCCGAGGGUUGUAAAGCACUUUCAGUAGGGAGGAAGAUACUAGGGUUAAUACCCCUAUUAUUUGACGUUACCUACAGAAGAAGCACCGGCUAACUCUGUGCCAGCAGCCGCGGUAAUACAGAGGGUGCAAGCGUUAUUCGGAAUUACUGGGCGUAAAGCGCGCGUAGGCGGAUGAUUAAGUCAGUUGUGAAAGCCCUGGGCUCAACCUAGGAACGGCAUCUGAUACUGGUCAUCUAGAGUUUAAGAGAGGGAAGUGGAAUUCCAGGUGUAGCAGUGAAAUGCGUAGAUAUCUGGAGGAACAUCAGUGGCGAAGGCGACUUCCUGGCUUAAAACUGACGCUGAGUGCGAAAGCGUGGGUAGCGAACGGGAUUAGAUAC